rnacentral:tRNA from 7 species
GCUGAUAUAGCUCAGGCGGUAGAGCGCAUCCUUGGUAAGGAUGAGGUCGGCAGUUCGAAUCUGCCUAUCAGCACCA